rnacentral:rRNA from 1 species
GCCAGAGAGGGUGAGAGCCCCGUAAGCGAAAUCCAAAGAAGGCCUAUCAGUAUCCUGAGUAGGGCAGGACACGUGAAAUCCCGUUUGAAUCCGCGAGGACCAUCUCGCAAGGCUAAAUACUAACCAGUGACCGAUAGUGAACCAGUACCGUGAGGGAAAGGUGAAAAGAACCCCGGGAGGGGAGUGAAAGAGAACCUGAAACCGUGUGCCUACAAGUAGUCAGAGCCCGUUAACGGGUAAUGGCGUGCCUUUUGUAGAAUGAACCGGCGAGUUGCGUUAGUCAGCAAGGUUAAGUCAGAAAAGACGGAGCCGCAGCGAAAGCGAGUCUGAAGAGGGCGAGCAGUUGGCUGACGCAGACCCGAAACCAAGUGACCUACCCAUGACCAGGUUGAAGGCGCGGUAAAACGCGCUGGAGGACCGAACCCACGUAAGUUGAAAAUUGCGGGGAUGAGUUGUGGGUAGCGGUGAAAUUCCAAACGAACUUGGAGAUAGCUGGUUCUCUCCGAAAUAGCUUUAGGGCUAGCCUCGCAAAGAGGAUGCUGGAGGUAGAGCUCUGUUUGGACUAGGGGCCCGUCAAGGGUUACUGAAUUCAGAUAAACUGCGAAUUCCAGACAUUUAUGUGCGGGAGUCAGACUGCGAGUGAUAAGAUCCGUAGUCGAAAGGGAAACAGCCCAGAUCACCAGUUAAGGUCCCAAAAUUCAUGCUAAGUGGAAAAGGAUGUGGAGUUGCGCAGACAACUAGGACGUUGGCUCAGAAGCAGCCAUCAUUCAAAGAGUGCGUAAUAGCUCACUAGUCGAGUGACGCCGCGCCGAAAAUUUACCGGGGCUAAGCAUGAUACCGAAACUGUGGAUGUGCAUUUAUGCACGUGGUAGGAGAGCGUUCUAGCGGCGGUGAAGCAUGACCGAGAGGACAUGUGGAGCUUCUAGAAGUGAGAAUGCCGGUAUGAGUAACGAAAGACAGGUGAGAAUCCUGUCCGCCGCAAGACUAAGGUUUCCUGGGGCAGGCUCGUCCGCCCAGGGUAAGUCGGGACCUAAGGCGAGGCCGAGAGGCGUAGUCGAUGGACAACAGGUUGAAAUUCCUGUACUGCACCGAAUCGUUAUGAGCGAUGGAGGGACGCAGGAGGCUAGCAGCGCGUGGUGCUGGAUACCACGUUCAAGCGUCAAGUCUGAGAGCGAGUCAAAUGCUUGCUUUCAUAAAGGACAAGGCGUGAUGAGGAGCGAAAUUAAAGUAGCGAAGGCUGCGACGUCACACUGCCGAGAAAAGCUUCUAGCCAGAAACGGUGCACCCGUACCGCAAACCGACACAGGUAGUCGAGGAGAGUAUCCUCAGGUGAGCGAGAGAACUCUCGUUAAGGAACUCGGCAAAAUGGCCCCGUAACUUCGGGAGAAGGGGCGCUGGUCGCAAGAUCAGCCGCAGUGAAAAGGCCCAAGCAACUGUUUAUCAAAAACACAGGCAUCUGCAAAAUCGUAAGAUGAAGUAUAGGUGCUGACACCUGCCCGGUGCUGGAAGGUUAAGAGGAGAGCUUAGCGCAAGCGAAGGUUUGAAUUGAAGCCCCAGUAAACGGCGGCCGUAACUAUAACGGUCCUAAGGUAGCGAAAUUCCUUGUCGGGUAAGUUCCGACCUGCACGAAAGGUGUAAUGAUUUGGGCACUGUCUCAACGAGAGACUCGGUGAAAUUAUAAUACCCGUGAAGAUGCGGGUUACCCGCGACAGGACGGAAAGACCCCAUGGAGCUUUACUGCAGUUUAAUAUUGGGUAUCUGUCAAGCAUGUACAGGAUAGGUAGGAGCCGGAGAAGAUAGGACGCCAGUCUUAUCUGAGGCGCUGUUGGGAUACUACCCUUGCUUGACGGAUGCUCUAACUCAGGCCUGUGAUCCAGGCCGAGGACAGUGUUUGACGGGCAGUUUGACUGGGGCGGUCGCCUCCUAAAGUGUAACGGAGGCGCCCAAAGGUUCCCUCAGAAUGGUUGGAAAUCAUUCGCAGAGUGUAAAGGCAAAAGGGAGCUUGACUGCGAGAGAGACAACUCGAGCAGGUACGAAAGUAGGGCUUAGUGAUCUGGUGGUACCGCAUGGAAGGGCCAUCACUCAACGGAUAAAAGCUACCCUGGGGAUAACAGGCUUAUCUCCCCCAAGAGUUCACAUCGACGGGGAGGUUUGGCACCUCGAUGUCGGCUCGUCGCAUCCUGGGGCUGAAGUCGGUCCCAAGGGUUGGGCUGUUCGCCCAUUAAAGCGGCACGCGAGCUGGGUUCAGAACGUCGUGAGACAGUUCGGUCCCUAUCCGUCGUGGGCGCAGGAAAUUUGAGAGGAGCUGUCCUUAGUACGAGAGGACCGGGAUGGACGCACCGCUGGUGUACCAGUUGUCUUGCCAAAGGCAUCGCUGGGUAGCUAUGUGCGGACGGGAUAAGCGCUGAAAGCAUCUAAGUGCGAAGCCCCCCUCAAGAUGAGAUUUCCCAUUUCUUCAAGAAAGUAAGACACCUCAGAGACGAUGAGGUAGAUAGGCCGGGAGUGGAAGAGCCGUGAGGCUUGGAGCGGACCGGUACUAAUCAGUCGAGGACUUGACCAAA